CCCGAACACUGUUUUUCUUGUUAUUGUGUAAUCUUCACAACCGUAUAAGAAACCGACAAAUUUAUUUUUGCAAAUUGCUCAUUACAUCUUCAGGAUGUGCUGUUUUAUUUUGACCGAAGCCGUAUAGAGAUUCCAUAUGAGAGUUAUUUCCCCUUUUGUAUUUGAAAUUUUGAAAUGUAUUUUAAACUGGAAAACCAUAAGUGAUAGAGACCUAGGGUCUUUUGAUUUGAGAUCCUUGGUCCAAAAAAAUGAAAAUUAGGUCAAGGUCAAAGGUCAAGGUCAUAUUCUAAAUUUUGAUUUUGGCUUAUUUUCACUCAUUUUCAUUUACCUUAUCAGAUAUCGACAAAUUAUUUUUACUAAAUUGUUAGUUGCGACAUGUCGUAACAUAAUAAUUUUGGUUGAAAGGGUGCGUAGACAAUAAA
rnacentral:lncRNA from 1 species